UCCAUGGCCAUACCACCCUGAAUACAUCUGAUCUUGGAAGCUAAGCAGGGUUGGGCCUGGUUAGUCCUUGGAUGGGAGAAGUAACAUUUAAACUGAGACCUAAGUUAGCCAGAGGAA
rnacentral:rRNA from 1 species